AUCCUUUUUGUAGUUGAUGAACAUGAUGGGGUGUUCACACACUUGUGUGAGGUGUGUCAUCCUCAAACCCUAUUAUGGUGGCACGUUAACCAUCUGACG
ensembl:snoRNA